UACCAUGCUGAAUAUACCGGUUCUCGUUAGAUCACCGAAGUCAAGCAUCAUUGGGCGCGGUCAGUACUUGGGUGGGUGACCACCUGGGAACAUCGCGUGCUGUU
rnacentral:rRNA from 1 species